rnacentral:rRNA from 1 species
GAUGAACGCUAGCGGCAGGCUUAACACAUGCAAGUCGAGGGGCAGCAUAAUGGAUAGCCAUAUCUGUGGUGGCGACCGGCGCACGGGUGCGUAACGCGUAUGCAACCUACCUUUAACAGGGGGAUAACACUGAGAAAUUGGUACUAAUACCCCAUAAUAUCAUAGAAGGCAUCUUUUAUGGUUGAAAAUUCCGAUGGUUAGAGAUGGGCAUGCGUUGUAUUAGCUAGUUGGUGGGGUAACGGCUCACCAAGGCGACGAUACAUAGGGGGACUGAGAGGUUAACCCCCCACACUGGUACUGAGACACGGACCAGACUCCUACGGGAGGCAGCAGUGAGGAAGAUUGGUCAAUGGACGCAAGUCUGAACCAGCCAUGCCGCGUGCAGGAUGACGGCUCUAUGAGUUGUAAACUGCUUUUGUACGAGGGUAAACGCAGAUACGUGUAUCUGUCUGAAAGUAUCGUACGAAUAAGGAUCGGCUAACUCCGUG